ensembl:lncRNA
AGUGGCAUUCAUGCGGAAAAAAGUCAAUGUCGCAAUAGUGAAAUUUGCCACGAAUAACAAUCUGACGCGUUCAUUUAUUUUUUUUGACAAAUAUUUUUGCAGAUGUUUAAAUACGUUAAACCCGUAGAUUGCAUGAAAUUCUGUCAAAAAUUAAAGCUCUCAUAUUUCUCAUUUUAAGAUUAAUCACUUUUAGUCGCAUUCAUGCGAAACAAUCCAUGUCGCAAUUGUGAAAUUUGGCACAUUUAUUUCGAUUAUUUUUGCAGCUGUUUGGGCAGCCGAUGAUCAUUAAUGCUUGUGUUUGAUGGUCACUGUCUGGAAGUCGACUAACAAAAUCAGCUUUAUUUGCUGCACCAUUUACACAGAAAUCAGUGGAGCGAGGAAAGCGGGAAGAGGCUGGAUGGUUUCUCUGUUAAGAUGAGAAGUGUCCUGGUUGUAUUAGUUUCUCUCAAUCUGGCCGUUUGCCUGCUUGUUCCUGCUCAGAUGAGAUACAAAACACUCCAACAACAUGUUUACCAGAACGCCAGCCUGAGUCUGAUCCUCGGCUCGUGACCUCGAACAACCCUGCGUUUUGAUGCCGUGUCUCCGAACGCAGCGCUCGCACUCGCUCAUUCCAGUCUGUCUUAUAAGAGUCCCAUCUAGCCAUUUCAGACGGUCUGAUUAACACAUAAUCACAUUUCAGGGAUCAAAGAGACGGAUUUUUACAGCACUUUGAAAAUGACGUCACAGCAGCGGAAAACUCGAGGAAAGUGCUUUGCAUUAAGACAAAUGUGUCCCUGCAGCACAGAAGCAGUCAUAAGUAGCACAGAGGCCACAGUCGGAGGCUAUAAACUGACACGGAGCUGUCCAGAAAAAAACACUCUACGGCUUAUUAUUCAGCGUCAGUGGGACUCCUGAAGACAAAGAUCAGCCUGCCAUGAAGAGUAGCUCUGUUCCAACACCUAGUGAGCUGUCUACUUAGACAACAUGCUAACUAAGCUCAUAAGUGUGUGAUUAGGAACAUAUAUAUAUACAGUACAGACCAAAAGUUUGGAAACAUUACUAAUGUUUUUGAAAGAAGUUUCUUCUGCUCAUCAAGCCUGCAUUUAUUUGAUCAAAAAUACAGAAAAAAAUGUAAUAUUGUGAUAUAUUAUUACAAUUUAAAAUAAUUGUUUUUAAAUUUAUUAUACUUUAAAUUAUCAUUUAUUUCUGUGAUGCAAAGCUGAAUUUUUAGGAUCAUUAUCACAUGAUCCUUUAGAAAUCAUUCUAAUAUGAUGAUUCAUUAUCAAAGUUGGAAACAGUUCUGCUGCUUAAUAUUUUUAACCUUUUAUUCAUCAAAUAUAUUAGACAGCAGAACUGUUUCCAACACUCAUAAUAAAUCAGAAUAUUAGAAUGAUUUCUAAAUGAUC